AGGAAUCUACCCAGUAGCGGGGGAUAGCCCAGGGAAACUUGGAUUAAUACCGCAUACGCCCUAAGGGGAAAAGAAGGCCUCUCUUUGAAGCUUUCACUAUUGGAUGAGCCUGCGUAAGAUUAGCUUGUUGGUGGGGUAAAGGCCUACCAAGGCAACGAUCUUUAGCUGGUCUGAGAGGACGAUCAGCCACAUUGGGACUGAGACACGGCCCAGACUUCUACGGAAGGCAGCAGUUAGGAAUAUUGGACAAUGGGGGCAACCCUGAUCCAGCUAUACCGCGUGUGUGAAGAAGGCCCUAGGGUUGUAAAGCACUUUAAGCAGGGAAGAAGCAUAUUAAGUUAAUACCUUAAUAUGUUGACGUUACCUGAAGAAUA
rnacentral:rRNA from 1 species